rnacentral:lncRNA from 1 species
AGAGAUCUAUCAUAUGUUGAUUUUGUCCUUGCAUGAAUGGAUCUUGCUGCUGGAUCUAAGCAGAUCUAUCAUGAUUUAUAUCAUCCAUCAUGAGGAUCUGCACUUAUUUUUUCUCAAUUGUGCAAUUUUAUAUUUCAUAAAUUGAUAUAUCAUGUCUUUCCUGUAUUUGCUUGAAAUUAGAAAUGUUGCAUGCCCUAGCAUUUGUAAAGAACUGCAUGAUCAACCC